UACGAAGGGGGCUAGCGUUGCUCGGAAUCACUGGGCGUAAAGCGCACGUAGGCGGAUUGCUAAGUCGAGGGGUGAAAUCCUGGAGCUCAACUCCAGAACUGCCUUUGAUACUGGCGAUCUCGAGUCCGGGAGAGGUGAGUGGAACUGCGAGUGUAGAGGUGAAAUUCGUAGAUAUUCGCAAGAACACCAGUGGCGAAGGCGGCUCACUGGCCCGGUACUGACGCUGAGGUGCGAAAGCGUGGGGAGCAAACAGG
rnacentral:rRNA from 1 species